rnacentral:rRNA from 1 species
AGAGUUUGAUCCUGGCUCAGGACGAACGCUGGCGGCGUGCCUAACACAUGCAAGUCGAGCGAUGAAACCUUUCGGGGUGGAUUAGCGGCGGACGGGUGAGUAACACGUGGGUAACCUACCUCAAAGAGGGGGAUAGCCUCCCGAAAGGGAGAUUAAUACCGCAUAACAUUAGUUUUUCGCAUGAAGAGCUAAUUAAAGGAGUAAUCCGCUUUGAGAUGGACCCGCGGCGCAUUAGCUAGUUGGUGAGGUAAUAGCUCACCAAGGCGACGAUGCGUAGCCGACCUGAGAGGGUGAUCGGCCACAUUGGAACUGAGAUACGGUCCAGACUCCUACGGGAGGCAGCAGUGGGGAAUAUUGCACAAUGGGCGAAAGCCUGAUGCAGCAACGCCGCGUGAGUGAUGAAGGCCUU